rnacentral:lncRNA from 1 species
GAUAGUCAAGAACAUUUUGAAGACAUGAUGGAGUCUGUGAUAUUGUGAGUAUGUAGGUUUUCUGUAUCACUAUGUUUGCUUCAGUUUUUCCUCUUUUCUAAAGCUUGUUAAGUUUAAUUAUCUGGCAUAAUUAGAAGCAGAGAAAUAAAUACCAGAGAAAGGAUUCUUUCCAUGUCCCCAUAAAACAUAACCAGGGAAAAAUCACGGUGAUCACUUUAAGGAAGAUUUGCAUGCUGGGAAGACUGUUAGUGAACUCUUGUCCACUCUCUUGAACUCACUGCCUUGAGAGGUGGUUGGUGACUUUUCUCUGGAUAUUAUCAAUCUGUUUUGAGAGAUGAAGUUAAAGAAAAGGAAAACAUUCAAAUUCAUCUUAACUGCCUAAAGGAAAGGUAAUAGUCAUGCCAUUGUAAAGAGUUAAAAAAAAAUAAAGAUUUUUGUCCACUGCUCCCCCUAUCACCAAGACUGAAAAGAAAAUCGAUAACAGCUGUGAUAAAAGCUAAUUAUACUCUCUUCCAUUUUUGAAGAUUUCUUCAAUUGUGUGAAAAGCAGAAAGUCUCUCUAGGAGAGUGGAGCAGUCUAAAGAAAGUAUCAGAUCUCUGUCUAAAGGAAAUGGAGACUCUUGAGGCAAAUCAAGAAGACUUGAAGUUAUUGCAGGUAUUAUGAAAAUGAAGAAACUGAAAAAGCAGUGAAGGCAACAGAAUUAAUAAAAGAGAAUAUUCAGAAACUUCAGGACAAAAUUGGAUUCUUGAGAAUGAGUUGGAGGAAGAAGAGGAAAAGGCCAAGCUGGUACUGAAAAUAAAAUGUAUUGUGCUUCAUAUAGAUGAUACCAAGGAGGAAAUUUUGAAAAGAAUCCCAAAUCAGAAAGGUAUUCUAAAGGAUCUACAUGUCAUGAAUAAUUCAGCAGAAAUGAAGAACAUGUUAACUUUCAUAAAAGAAGCCUAUAAGAAGCUGGAUACCUCCUAAGUCCUUGUACUAUAUGUUUGUGGACAAUUUAACAUUUAUAAAUCAAU